rnacentral:misc_RNA from 1 species
UCAAACGCAGAAUAAGGCCAGC